UCUAUCACGUGCAAUUCCUUC
rnacentral:siRNA from 1 species